GAGAUUAACCACGAACUGCUAAAUCACCCCCCCGA
rnacentral:tRNA from 1 species